CCUACGGGGGGCUGCAGUCGAGAAUCAUUCACAAUGGGGGAAACCCUGAUGGAGCGACGCCGCGUGGGGGAAUGAAGGUCUUCGGAUUGUAAACCCCUGUCAUGUGGGAGCAAAUUAAAAAGAUAGUACCACAAGAGGAAGAGACGGCUAACUCUGAGCCAGCAGCCGCGGUAAUACAGAGGUCUCAAGCGUUGUUCGGAAUCACUGGGCGUAAUGCGUGCGUAGGCUGUUGCGUAAGGCGUGUGUGAAAGGCGCGGGCUCAACCCGCGGACGGCACAUGAUACUGCGAGACUAGAGUAGUGGAGAGGGAAGCGGAAUUCGCGGUGUAGCGGUGAAAUGCGUAGAUAUCGAGCGGAACACUCGUGGCGAAGGCGGGUUCCUGGACAUUAACUGACGCUGAGGCACGAAGGCGUGGGGAGCGAAAAGGAUUAGAUACCCCUGUAGUC
rnacentral:rRNA from 1 species